GACGGGGGCCCGCACAAGCGGUGGAGCAUGUGGUUAAUUCGAUGCAACGCGAAGAACCUUACCAGGGCUUGACAUCCCCUGACCGCGUAUGAAAGUACGUUUUCACCCUCGGGUGACAGGGAGACAGGUGGUGCAUGGUUGUCGUCAGCUCGUGUCGUGAGAUGUUGGGUUAAGUCCCGCAACGAGCGCAACCCCUACGUUUAGUUGCUAACGCGUGAAGGCGAGCACUCUAGACGAACUGCCGUUGACAAAACGGAGGAAGGUGGGGAUGACGUCAAAUCAUCAUGCCCCUUAUGUUCUGGGCUACACACGUGCUACAAUGGCCGGUACAGACGGAGGCGAAGCCGCGAGGCGGAGCAAAUCCGAAAAAGCCGGUCUCAGUUCGGAUUGAAGUCUGCAACUCGACUUCAUGAAGUCGGAAUCGCUAGUAAUCGCGGAUCAGAACGCCGCGGUGAAUACGUUCUCGGGUUU
rnacentral:rRNA from 1 species